rnacentral:rRNA from 1 species
GACGUAGGUGGCGAACGUUAUCCGGAAUUAUUGGGCGUAAAGGGUGCGUAGGCGGCGCGGUAAGUCGGGUGUGAAAUCUCGGAGCUUAACUCCGAAACUGCAUUCGAUACUGCCGUGCUUGAGGACUGGAGAGGAGACUGGAAUUUACGGUGUAGCGGUGAAAUGCGUAGAUAUCGUAAGGAAGACCAGUGGCGAAGGCGGGUCUCUGGACAGUUCCUGACGCUGAGGCACGAAGGUCAGGGGGAGCAAACGGG